rnacentral:rRNA from 1 species
CGGGUUGUCAUGCCAAUGGCACUGCCCGGUAGCUAAAUGCGGAAGAGAUAAGUGCUGAAAGCAUCUAAGCACGAAACUUGCCCCGAGAUGAGUUCUCCCUGAGACUUAGAGUCUCCUGAAGGAACGUUGAAGACGACGACGUUGAUAGGCCGGGUGUGUAAGCGCAGCGAUGCGUUGAGCUAACCGGUACUAAUGAACCGUGAGGCUUAACCUUACAACGCCGAAGCUGUU